GACCAUUUUUGUUGUCAUAAAAACCUUCUUCUUUACAAUACAGAAUAACGAUUGUCAAUAGUAAAUAUUAUGAAAACAAUAACUGUUGUAUUUUUCAUCAUUAUAUAGUUUAUGUAUUAUAAUUGUAAAAACAAAACAAAUUUAGCAACUCACAUAGUAAUCAUUCAACACUGCUUAAAAAUGUAAGUUGAAAAUUAAACUCAUGAUUAAGCAUGAAAUAAGAUACAGAAUCAGUAAAUUCGAUUUUAAUGUGGGUAUAUUAUCAGUAAACUAAUCAUUAAAUAUUUAUAAUCAAUCAAAAAAUAUUGCCCCCUUUCAUAAUGUUGUUCAAAAAUGAAGGGCACAAUGUUAAUGUUGUCCACUCGAUGGCGCCACAGGACAGCAAAUACUUCAAGAUCUGUUCAAAGACUUGAAAAUGUUUCAUUUAUGUAAAUAAAUCAAAAAUGCAUAUACAUUCAUUCUUUUUUCAUAAACUUUAAUAAAGCCCAAUAUAGUAAUUAUGCAAAAACUAUCAUCUCCAAAAUACCAUUACGUUUUUAUCUUAUUUUAAUAGUAUUGACAACAUAUUUCUCAAGUUAUCACGCAUUACUGAAAAAGUGAAGAAGGGACACUAUAUUUGUUAUCUAUUUUCAUGUUGUGCGUAUAAUAAUUUACUUGAAAAGAGACACGUCCAUUGUUUAACUGCAUCAUCUACACAAACCAUUGUGCUUGGACCCCUUAUGAUCACCUGGACUUAAACCACAUUGUUUCAGUUACCUUCUGUGUCUUUGGCCACAACGCUUCAGUGACAGGAAUGUGAAAUAGCAAACAGGGGAACAAAUAAAAGGCAUGACUUUAUUUGCAUCCAGCUAGCCAACUCUAUUACAGAUGUUCCACAGCCAAGACUCUUAUUAGAAUAGAAAAUAGCAAGGGUUCGAAUAAAUAGUUUAUUAAUCAUUUAAUUUCACUUUCUUAAUGAAUAUUGUUCUGUGUAUGUGAUUUCAA
ensembl:lncRNA